rnacentral:rRNA from 1 species
GACGUAGGGGGCCAGCGUUGCUCGGAAUUACUGGGUGUAAAGGGUUCGUAGGCGGUGUGGCACGUUGGGUGUGAAAUCUCUGGGCUCAACCCAGAGACGGCUUCCAAAACUGCCGUGCUUGAGUGUGGGAGAGGCUCGUGGAAUUGCAGGUGUAGCGGUGAAAUGCGUAGAUAUCUGCAGGAACACCCGUGGCGAAAGCGGCAAGCUGGACCGCUACUGACGCUGAAGAACGAAAGCCAGGGGAGCAAACGGG